GACAGAGGAUGCAAGCGUUAUCCGGAAUGAUUGGGCGUAAAGCGUCUGUAGGUGGCUUUUUAAGUCCGCCGUCAAAUCCCAGGGCUCAACCCUGGACAGGCGGUGGAAACUACCAAGCUGGAGUACGGUAGGGGCAGAGGGAAUUUCCGGUGGAGCGGUGAAAUGCGGCAGAUAUCAGGAGGAACACCGAUGGCGAAGGCAGGUCUCUGGGCAUUAACUGACGUGAGGAGCGAAAGCAUGGGGAGCGAACAGG
rnacentral:rRNA from 1 species